GCCCCCCACUAUGGGACUGAAACACUGGCCAUACUCCUACGGGAGGCAGCAGCAGGGAAUAUUGCACAAUGGACGGAAGUCUGAUGCAGCGACGCCGCGUGAGUGAAGAAGGCCUUCGGCGUUGUCAAACUCUUUUGAGGGGGAAGAGAGAGGACGGUACCCCUGGAAUAAGCGUCGGCUAACUACGUGCCAGCAGCCGCGGUAAGACGUAGGACGCGAGCGUUAUCCGGAUUUACUGGGCGUAAAGCGUCUGUAGGCUGAUGUGUAAGUUGGGCGUGAAAGCUCCGGGCUUAACCCGGAGAGGCCGUUCAAUACUGCAUAACUUGAGGGUGUCAGAGGGGAGCGGAAUUCCCGGUGUAGCGGUAACCUGCGCAGAGAUCGGGAGGAACAUCAGUGGCUGAGGCUGUUCCCUGGGGCACACCUGACGCUUAGAGACGAGAGCCAGGGGAGCGACCAGGACUAGAGACCCUGGUAGUCCUAGCCCUAAACGAUGAAGCCUAGGUGUGGGACUCGAAGGGUUCCGUGCCGGAGCGAACGCGAUAAGCAUUCCGCCUGGGGAAUACGGCCGCAAGGUUGAAAACUCAGACGAAUUGAUCGGGGCGCCGCACAAGCAGCGGAGCGUGUGGUGUAACUGGAUGCUACACGAAGAACCUUACCUGGGUUUGACAUGUAGGUGGUACUGAAUACGAAAGGUGAACGACCCUUCGGGGAGCACGACACAGGUUAUGCAUGGCUGUCGUCAGCUCGUGCCGUGAGGUGUCGGGUUAAGUCCCGUAACGAGCGC
rnacentral:rRNA from 1 species